rnacentral:snoRNA from 10 species
GGAUAUCAAACCAUCAUAGAGGAUAGAUCUCCAUAGGAUGCCACAGUGAAUAGUGCUAUGUUUUCCUGGGGAGAUAUAAGA